GGAAUCUUGGGCAAUGGGCGAAAGCCUGACCCAGCGACGCCGCGUGAGGGAUGAAGGCCUUCGGGUCGGAAACCUCUUUUGUCGGGGAAGAAGUUCUGACGGUACCCGACGAAUAAGCCACGGCGAACUACGUGCCAGCAGCCGCGGUAAUACGUCGGUGGCGAGCGUUGUCCGGAUUUACUGGGCGUAAAGGGCUGGGAGGCGGUCUGUUAAGUCCGGUGUGAAAUCUCCCGGCUCAACUGGGAGGGGUCAUCGGAUACUGGCAGACUUGAGGGGGGUAGAGGAAAGCAGAAUUCCCGGUGUAGCGGUGAAAUGCGUAGAUAUCGGGAGGAAUACCAGUGGCGAAGGCGGCUUUCUGGGCCUACCCUGACGCUGAGGAGCGAAAGCGUGGGGAGCAAACCGG
rnacentral:rRNA from 1 species